AGUUAAACAGUACGUGAAAUUGUUGAAAGGGAAACGAUUGAAGCCAGUCGUACCUAUGGGUAAUCAGCCUUUUGGGUGUGAUUUUGUGGAGCGUGAAGAGUUAAACGCCUUCAUGCCUGCAUAUUCGUGCACUUUGGGUGUACUUGCCCGUGUGUAAGUUAACAUCAAUUUUGGUGGUCAUAAAAUGGCUGGAGGAAUGUAGCUUCGAUCUUGUAUUGAAGUGUUAUAGCCUUCGGUAGAUGUGACGAUCGGGAUUGAGGAUUGCAACGGAUACCCUUCGGGGCUACCUGUCUGAUCUCUGAUUGUUGCUCUGGUACUGAAAGCUUGCUUACGGUUAUCAAAGUCGAUGGUCAAUAGGUUAGAACGGGUUAAAUUCGUUAAGGAUGUUGACGUAAUGGCUUUAAA
rnacentral:misc_RNA from 1 species